GUGCUCUGUAACUACCAUUUAAGUUUCAAUCCAGGCAAUCCACAGUCAAAUGAACACAGCCUGCAUAAAGUAACUGUGAUUUUUCACCAACCGUUGUGACUUCCGUAAA